GAAAAACCACUUGCUCAGCUUCUCCUUGUAAAUCGCUGGUUAGCCACAAAGUGCCUCUGGGUCUCCUGUGGGGGUGUCCCCUUUCCUUAGUCCUGCCCACGGGGCCGAUGCCCUUUGACCCUUGUGGUAUUCUCAGCUGUGAUUUCUCUCUGGUUUGCUGGGACCUCUCUCCCCUCGCCCUAGUCCUCCCCAGCCGCUCCUUCUCCACGGGGCCGGGCUCCUGGCCCGCACCCCUGCACUGACAGGUCUCCCUCUCCCUCCCUGCAGCCUGGCCACCCAGUACUCCUCUUCCCUGAUCUCACAGCCCACCCGGGAAGGUAAGAGCCUGCCCUGUCUGGCCCGAAGGGAGUGGGGAGAGGCCGGGGACCCGUCUGUGCGGGAGACUGGGGGAGGGGCUCGGGCCUGAGAUUUCCUGUGCCCCCUCCUCCAUCGCCUGCAGCCACAGUGACCACCCGCCAGGUGCGCACCAUUAUGGAGGAAGUCCAGGAUGGCAAGGUGGUCUCCUCCCGAGAGCAGGUCCACCGCUCCACACACUGAGGCCCCUUUCCACCUGUGACAGCCCAGCCUCGAGGGUCACGGGGGAGCCAUCGCCUUGGGCUCCCAGCAUGCUAGUGCCGCACCCUGAGUGCCCAUCUGGGCCACCAGCCAAGAGCUGUUGCCUUUCUGUAUCUGUUUCCUGCAGCCCCUCACCGAGGGUCCUCCUAGAAUUGCCCCAGUGUCUGCUAUUAAAGCUUUGCCUGAAGUUCAA
rnacentral:lncRNA from 1 species